UAUCCUUCAGGGACGUGCAGGCUCUCGUGUAGCCAUGACUGGGAGCAUUUGACCCCCAGCUGCCUCUUCCUUCCUGAAGAGUGAAACCCGUGUCUCCCGAGAAAAGCCUAAGAGAAGCUUGUUAGGUUGCGGGCAUGUUUCGGAUCCAGUCCGGGUCCCCGCCAACUGAAAUCCGUUACCACCUAAUUCUGGCGGAAGGCCGGAGCAACAGAAGCAGGGCGGGGCAGUUACUAGACGUGUUCCGUGGCCGUUUCUGAGGCUGAGAGAGACAUUUUCACUUAGGGGAGACAGUCACUGUGUGAGACCUGCACCAAUCGCAGCUCAGGGGGAAACGGUUAUAAAGCCAGCAUUGCUACCCCAUCAUGAAUCUUUUGUGGCGGAUCCUCCCACAUCUGGGAAUUGGAGAGGAAUACAACCCGUGAUGUUGAAAUGACAUCUCAGAUUUGUCCUGAUACAUGGAGAACAGAAUGCCUUGAAAGGGAACGUUUCCGUGCAUGACACAUUCGAUACAAAUCAGACCUUAGCCCUGCUCGUGCUGCUUACUGCAGAAGGGGAGGUUUAUUGAGCGGGUUGCAGAAGAGACCGUGCUCCGCUCUUUGCAUCGGAACCGCUCCGACAACAGCAAAACCAAGGGCUGCUUUAGGCAAAUCUUCAGCAUUGUAUUGGCACCUCAGGCCUUGAUAGCAAAGUGCUUAGGCAGAGAGGCAAGUCCUGCCGAUGCCAGCAGGAUUUAAAUAGCUCUUCCUUCAACCACAUCUGGUCCAGGAAGAAGGCUGGCUGUUUCCUUUCUUAUCUGCAAUGGAGAUUCUUCUGAGGUGCCUCUGCAGAGACAAGUUGAGGGGCACGGGUUAGGACUUCCUGGUGACUGCUAAGCUGCCUCACCGGGUGCACCUGCCUGAUGACACAGAGCUGCCGCUUUCUCCUGAGGACCCGGAAGCCAUGUGCGGACGCAGAGCCGGAGAGGGUGGCCGUUUUCAGACGGAUGCUGUAAAUAGCGUGGGAGAAGGUCACCUUUUCACAAAAGUGAUCCUGUUUGGUGGGGGUGAUAACCACAGUUCCCUGUAAAGCGCGCGGUGGAGCGGCCAAGCUGGAAGCAAUGAAGACCUGCCCACUUCGUUAGUGGAGCGGUGCAGAGUGCCUGCAGGAAUGAGUUCCCCCGCCUGAGGCGUGAGCCUGUGGAUGGAGGAAAAGGAGGGAAAAGGGAAGCUGUGGGUGGGGGGAGUCGGGUGGGUCGGGAGGCAGAGGAAGAGGCGUUUCUGAGAGUCCAUCUCUCUCUGGCAGCUCCAGCUGCUGUCACUGUACCUGUAGACGCGGUACCUCCUCCUUUCCAGCCAGCCCCAGUAGCUGGCCUGCCCUCUAUGAGUGGGCCUGCAAAUAGAAGCAGCACCCCUCCUCCACUCCCCCUGUCCCUUCCAUUCCCCCUCCGCCCCAGGCAGCCCUCCCAGGUGCUGGGCUGCUCUGAGUAAAAAUGGCACCUACCUGUCCCCUCCACACCUGCCCCCCCAGGUAACUCCGGCUGCCUGGCUGCUGUUCAGAGCACAAGGCAGGAAGCCCCCAUAAACCAGAGAGAGCCGUUCAGAGCUGAGACUGAGACGGUGCUAAAACGCUGGAGCUUGCUGUCCACCCAAGUUCCUCAGACACUGCUUAGGUGCAGAACUAAAAAUCCACGAAGAAAAUAUGCAGAAGGGUUUUGUUCCUCGGUCUUUCCCCAGAGCAGAAUCACGCCAGCUUGGAGGAACGGCAAAGCAAAUCAUCUCGAGAGAUGUAAACAGAACUGGAAUGUUAAAAAAAUCCAGCCUCCUAGGUAAUAGGGAGCAAUACGUGCACAGAGUGUUCACACGUGAGUCCAUUCAAGAACAUUUAGCCAGUGGUUGAAAACAGUUUAAAACAUCUGUCCCAACAGCAAGGGGUGGCGGGUAGGAGAGGCACAGCCUUCCCAAAGUGCCCGUGUGGCCCCACCCAGACUCCGCCCCCAGAGCACCUACUGUAGGUGUACUGGGGGCGGAGUGUUGCUGCCCCUAAGCGCCCUCUCUCCCUGUGCCUCAGGGCCAGGCAGGCUGGGGCCACAUGCUGCCCCGCCCUCUCUGGGGCUGGGAACAUGCAACACCCUACCUCCCCAUGGUGCUCCAGGCAGGGGGAGGGGUUUGGCUCCCAUGGGGAGCAUGGCCUGGGCUGAAGGGGUGGGGCUGGUGGGGAGCUUGGGGCUUGCUUCCCCCACCCUACCUUCACCCAAAGCCCGUGACACCAGCCUAGCCCAAUCCUGGCCAGCUCAGGCCCCAAUGCCGUCAACACUACUUCCCUGGCAAAGACAACAGGAGGAGACCCCUUUUUCAUCAGAUGCCAACUGGCCACUGACAAUUUUGCAGUAUUAAUUUUCUUUGUAUUUGAUUUCCAAUUAAAUCACAUUUAUAGUCACGCAUCUUGUUAAUUAUCCCUUGUUUCGGUAUUCUUUCUUCUCCCGUAACAUUUUACACGGAGAUGAUUUUUGUUCGUAAGUAGCAGGCGCCAGACAUCCGAACAAGCACACGUGACCUCAACAUUGGCGCAGGUGACAGAACUCGCGCCACGCAUGGAUGGAAAAACGGAGAGGGAACGCUGGUAAUAACUUCCCCCGUAUCUGUCCAUAGUACACACCAGCCAAUAGCUUUCCUGCGAGAUGAUGGAUUUGAGAUAGGAACAGGGUUUGCCCAAGACACCCUCGCCUUGUGCGCUGGGUUUGGGAAUUGAGUGGAUACGAGGAGGUUGGAGGAGGUAGGCUUCCUGGGUAGUUAGUGUGGGGGCUGCGCCAUCCUGAGGGUGAAAUGAAAAAGCGGGUGGGAAGGCCUGCGCUGAACAUCUUCAUUUUGUUUUUCACAAAGCCCAACCCCUGGCGGUCAGGCGGGAGGUGAGCUUUGCGCCCUGUGUUUGCAGAGUAUAUGAGGAAUAGCGCCUGCUACCAGGGAUGUCACAGGACACGGACAGUGGCCGGAGCUGGAGUAAGCCAGCCCUUUGAACCGCCAGUGGUGUCCUGCCGAGGUGCCUUUAACCAUUAAUGUCCUUCAUGCCCUUCUAAGCCUAGCCUAGCCCUUCCCUGCUCCAAAGCUUGCAGUCAGGGCGCAUUUCUGAUGAUGUGGAUUAACGAGCCCUAGGGAUUAGGGUUCGAUCCUCAGCAUGGCUUAUGGGAAAACUGGGUCACUAGAGGCUGGAAUAACGAGUCCUCUGAGAAUAUUUUAUCAGGAACCAGAAGAUAAUUGGGAAGUGUUUAAUAGUAUUACAGCCUGGAAAUAGCUCCAUUACACUUGGCCAUUAGUAAAACUGAGAAUAGCAAGAGCCUGGAGAUUAACUGCGGGAUAAUUCAUCUCACUGAACUUGAGGGGUAACUUCAUUUGGCUGCGUGGUUGGACACCAGCGUGAGCAAAAGCACCAUGGGGCCCUGAGCUCUUAAAUCUUUCUGACCCAGGAUCAAUAGCUCUCUGGACAUGCUCCAGCCUGCCUGUAAUAUCUGUGAAUCACCAUCGCUGCUCUGUCAUGCAACUAAUCAGUGCCUGUGA